ensembl:miRNA
CAUCUCCCAGUGUCAUUUUUGUGGUUUGCAGCUAGUACUCUGGCUCCAGUUGCAUAGUCACAAAAAUGAGCAUUGGCAGGUGUGAC